GACGUAGGGCGCGAGCGUUGUCCGGAUUUAUUGGGCGUAAAGAGCUCGUAGGCGGCUUGUCGCGUCGUCCGUGAAAACUUGGGGCUCAACCCCAAGCUUGCGGUCGAUACGGGCAGGCUCGAGUUCGGUAGGGGAGACUGGAAUUCCUGGUGUAGCGGUGAAAUGCGCAGAUAUCAGGAGGAACACCGGUGGCGAAGGCGGGUCUCUGGGCCUUGCCUGACGCUGAGGCGCGAAAGCUAGGGGAGCGAACAGG
rnacentral:rRNA from 1 species